rnacentral:rRNA from 1 species
UAAUUUGAUAUUGUUUUUGAUUAGAUCUAGUGUAGAAUACAAGGGAGUGUAAACGCCAGUGAAAUACCUUGAUAGAUCUUAAUUAGAAACUAAUUUAUAGCAAUAUAGAGACAGUAUCAGAGGGUCAGUUUUACUGGGGCGGUAGCCUCUAAGAAAGUAUCAGAGGCCUUCAAAGGUAUAUUUAUAUUGGUCAGAAACCAAUGAGCAUCUAUACGCUCAUCAAAGUGUAAUGAUAAAAUAUGCUUGACUGAAAGACUGAUAGGUCGAUCAGCUACGCAAGUAGGACAUAGUGAUCCGGUGAUUCAUAAUGGAAUGAUCAUCGCUCAAGA